GACGAACGCUGGCGGCGUGCUUAACACAUGCAAGUCGAACGGAAAGGCCCUGCUUUUGUGGGGUGCUCGAGUGGCGAACGGGUGAGUAACACGUGAGUAACCUGCCCUUGACUUUGGGAUAACUUCAGGAAACUGGGGCUCAUACCGGAUAGGAGCUCCUGCUGCAUGGUGGUGGUUGGAAAGUUUCGGCGGUGGGGGCUGGACUCGCGGCUUAUGAGCUUGUUGGUGGGGUAGUGGCUUACCACGGCUUUGACGGGUAGCCGGCCUGAGAGGGUUACCGGCCACAUUGGGACUAAGGUACGGCCCAGACUCGUACGGGAGGCAGCAGUGGGGAAUAUUGCACAAUGGGCGGAAGCCUGAUGCAGCAACGCUGCGUGCGGGAUGACGGCCUUCGGGUUGUAAACCGCUUUGGCCUGUGACGAAGCGUGCGUGACGGUAAUGGGUAAAGAAGCACCGGCUAACUACGUG
rnacentral:rRNA from 1 species